rnacentral:rRNA from 1 species
CCAGCAGCCGCGGUAAUUCCAGCUUCAAUAGCGUAUACUUAAGUUGUUGUGGUUGAAGAGCUCGUAGUCGUAACUCUGGAUUAUCAACUUGUAGUGGGCGUCGCUUCGGUGGUGCUCACUUUAGGAGUUUGGUAUCCUCAUUUCGACGUUUGGGUGCGGGUGUCAUUAACUUGACGUCCGUAAACUGCGUCGAUUUUACCUUGAAUAAAUCGGAGUGCUCAAAGCAGGCUCUAAUGCUUGAACGAUUGUGCAUGGGAUAAUGGAACAGGGCGUCUCCGCCCUUACAUUGGUUUAAGUGGAGACGUAAUGAUAGAUAGGAACGGACGGCGUGAUUCGUACGAGAGGGUGAAAGGUGAAAUUUUUAGAUCCUUCUCAGACGAGCGGAUGCGAAGGCGUUUCACGAGAAACGUUUUCAUUGAUCAAGAGCGAAAAGAAGCAGGUUCGAAAACGAUUAGAUACCCGUUGUAGUUGCUUCCCGUAAACGAUUUAGACUUGCGAUAGGCAAGGGUUGUUAAUAACCUUUGUCUGCAGCUUCCGGGAAACCCAAAGUGUUUGUAGCCCAGGGGGAGUAUGGUUGCAAAGCUGAAACUUAAAGAAAUUGACGGAAGGGCACCACCAGGCGUGGAGCCUGCGGCUUAAUUUGACUCAACACGGGACAACUUGCCCGGCCCGGACACAGGAAUGAUUGACAGAUUGAGAGCUCUUUCUUGAUUCUGUGGGUGGUGGUGCAUGGCCGUUCUUAGUCGGUGGAGUGAUUUGUCUGGUUAAUUCCGAUAACGGACGAGACUCUGACAUGCUAACUAGUUUCGCUUGCUACCUUUUAGGUCAGGUGGGAACUUCUUAGAUGGAUUGGCGCCUUUUUGAAUGCGCAUGAAAUAGGGCUAUAACAGGUCUGUGAU